UACGGAGGGUGCAAGCGUUAUCCGGAUUCACUGGGUUUAAAGGGUGCGUAGGUGGGUUGAUAAGUCAGUGGUGAAAUCCCCGAGCUUAACUUGGGAACUGCCAUUGAUACUAUUGAUCUUGAAUACCGUGGAGGUCAGCGGAAUAUGUCAUGUAGCGGUGAAAAUGCUUAGAUAUGACAUAGAACACCAAUUGCGAAGGCAGCUGGCUACGCGAAUAUUGACACUGAUGCCACAGAAGCGGUGGGGAAAUCAAC
rnacentral:rRNA from 1 species